rfam:Methanobrevibacter filiformis strain DSM 11501 MBFIL_contig000060, whole genome shotgun sequence.
UGCCGGGCAGCUACGCGCUAGACGAUAAAGGCUGAAAGCAUCUAAGCCUGAGGUGUCCCCUGAAAAUAGACUGCUUUUUUAGGACUCAAGUAGAAGACUUGUUUGAUGGGGUAGGGAUGUAAGCUUCGAGGUUUAUUCCGAGUUGUUUAGUCCGCUGCUUCCAAUCGUCCACUAGCAUAUUUUU